AUUGAACGCUGGCGGCAUGCCUUACACAUGCAAGUCGAACGGUAACAGGUUAAGCUGACGAGUGGCGAACGGAUGAGUAAUGUAUCGGAACGUGCCCAGUCGUGGGGGAUAACUACUCGAAAGAGUGGCUAAUACCGCAUACGACCUGAGGGUGAAAGCGGGGGACCGUAAGGCCUCGCGCGAUUGGAGCGGCCGAUAUCAGAUUAGCUAGUUGGUGGGGUAAAAGCCCACCAAGGCGACGAUCUGUAGCUGGUCUGAGAGGACGACCAGCCACACUGGGACUGAGACACGGCCCAGACUCCUACGGGAGGCAGCAGUGGGGAAUUUUGGACAAUGGGCGAAAGCCUGAUCCAGCCAUACCGCGUGAGUGAAGAAGGCCUUCGGGUUGUAAAGCUCUUUCGGACAGAAAGAAAUCCUAUCCGCUAAUACCGGGUGGGGAUGACGGUACUGUAAGAAGAAGCACCGGCUAACUACGUGCCAGCCGCCGCAGUAAAAC
rnacentral:rRNA from 1 species